rnacentral:snRNA from 1 species
AUAAUUUGGCAGCACCUAUACCAAACUUGAAAAGAUACAGAGAAGAUUAGCAUGGCCCCUGUGCAAGGAUAACACGAAAAUUUGUGAAGGAUUCCAUAGUUUU